rnacentral:rRNA from 1 species
UACGUAGGGUGCAAGCGUUGUCCGGAAUUAUUGGGCGUAAAGAGCUCGUAGGCGGUCUGUCGCGUCUGCUGUGAAAACUCGGGGCUUAACCCCGGGCCUGCAGUGGGUACGGGCAGACUAGAGUGCGGUAGGGGAGACUGGAAUUCCUGGUGUAGCGGUGAAAUGCGUAGAUAUCAGGAGGAAUACCGAUGGCGAAGGCAGGUCUCUGGGCUAUAACUGACGCUCAUGCACGAAAGCGUGGGGAGCAAACAGG